rnacentral:rRNA from 1 species
CUGCUGCCUUCCGUAGGAGUUUGGACCGCGUCUCAGUUCCAAUGUGGGGGACCUUCCUCUCAGAACCCCUACGCAUCGUCGGCUUGGUGGGCCGUUGCCCCACCAACUACCUAAUGCGCCGCAUGCCCAUCCGUGACCGGAGUCGCCCCCUUUGGCCGGAAAGGGAUGUCCCUUCCCGGCGUCAUGCUGUAUUAGGCGGGAUUUCUCCCGGUUAUCCAUCUGUCACGGCCAGGUUGCAUACGUGUUACUCACCCGUGCGCCGGUCGCCGG